rnacentral:misc_RNA from 1 species
AACGCACAUUGCGCCCGCCAGCAUUCUGGCGGGCAUGCCUGUUCGAGCGUCAUUUCAACCCUCAGGCCCCCGCCUCCGCGGCGCGGGGCCUGGCGUUGGGGAUCGGCCUCUGCCCCCGGGCGGACCGGCCGGCCCCGAAACACAGUGGCGGUCUCGCUGCAGCCUCCCUUGCGUAGUAGAAACACCUCGCACCGGAACGCGGCAAGGCCACGCCGUAAAACCCCCGACUUUUUUAUCAGGUUGACCUCGGAUCAGGUAGGAAUACCCGCUGAACUUAA